rnacentral:tRNA from 1 species
GGGGUUGUGGCUCAGUGGUGGAGUGCUUGCUUUGCAAGAGUGAGGCACUGGGUUCGAUCCUCAGCACCUCA